rnacentral:misc_RNA from 1 species
UGUGGGAGCGGGCUUGCUCGCGAUCCAGACGCUGCAGUCUUUCAGUGAAAGCACGGUGACGCCAUCGCGAGCAAGCCCGCUCCCACA